UGGACCUGAUAUCAAACAG
rnacentral:rRNA from 1 species